rnacentral:rRNA from 1 species
AUUGAACGCUGGCGGCAUGCCUUACACAUGCAAGUCGAACGGUAACAGGUCUUCGGAUGCUGACGAGUGGCGAACGGGUGAGUAAUACAUCGGAACGUGCCCAAUCGUGGGGGAUAACGCAGCGAAAGCUGUGCUAAUACCGCAUACGAUCUACGGAUGAAAGCGGGGGAUCUUCGGAUCUCGCGCGAAUGGAGCGGCCGAUGGCAGAUUAGGUAGUUGGUAGGGUAAAAGCCUACCAAGCCGACGAUCUGUAGCUGGUCUGAGAGGACGACCAGCCACACUGGGACUGAGACACGGCCCAGACUCCUACGGGAGGCAGCAGUGGGGAAUUUUGGACAAUGGGCGCAAGCCUGAUCCAGCAAUGCCGCGUGCAGGAUGAAGGCCUCGGUUGGUAACUAGCUUUGUUACGGUAGGCGAAAAGGUACGUCUUCUUAAUACUAGGAAGGCCCGACUGACGGUACCGGUAA